UACAAAGGGGGCUAGCGUUGUUCGGAAUUACUGGGCGUAAAGCGCACGUAGGCGGAUCGAUCAGUCAGGGGUGAAAUCCCAGAGCUCAACUCUGGAACUGCCUUUGAUACUGUCGGUCUAGAGUAUGGAAGAGGUGAGUGGAAUUCCGAGUGUAGAGGUGAAAUUCGUAGAUAUUCGGAGGAACACCAGUGGCGAAGGCGGCUCACUGGUCCAUUACUGACGCUGAGGUGCGAAAGCGUGGGGAGCAAACAGG
rnacentral:rRNA from 1 species